UACGUAGGGUGCAAGCGUUGUCCGGAAUUAUUGGGCGUAAAGAGCUCGUAGGUGGCCUGUCGCGUCGGCUGUGAAAACUCGGGGCUCAACUCCGAGCUUGCAGUCGAUACGGGCAGGCUAGAGUUCGGCAGGGGAGACUGGAAUUCCUGGUGUAGCGGUGAAAUGCGCAGAUAUCAGGAGGAACACCGGUGGCGAAGGCGGGUCUCUGGGCCGAUACUGACGCUGAGGAGCGAAAGCGUGGGGAGCAAACAGG
rnacentral:rRNA from 1 species